ACAUGGGGAGGUGACUGUUAUACCAGCUCUAUCAGAACUAGAGGACAUGGGGAGGGACUGUUAUACCAGCUCUAUCAGAACUAGAAGACAUGGGGAGGUGACUGUUAUACCAGCUCUAUCAGCUCUAUCAGAACUAGAAGACAUGGGGAGGGGACUGUUAUACCAGCUCUAUCAGAACUAGAAGACAUGGGGAGGGGACUGUUAUACCAGCUCUAUCAGCUCUAUCAGAACUAGAAGA